CAAAAGCAUCUCGCUUACACCGAAAAGAUAUCUGUGAAAUCCAAAUUAUUUCGA
rnacentral:tRNA from 1 species